UAGGGAAUCUUCCACAAUGGACGAAAGUCUGAUGGAGCAACGCCGCGUGAGUGAUGAAGGGUUUCGGCUCGUAAAACUCUGUUGUUGGAGAAGAACAGGUGUGAGAGUAACUGUUCACAUCUUGACGGUAUCCAACCAGAAAGCCACGGCUAACUACGUGCCAGCAGCCGCGGUAAUACGUAGGUGGCAAGCGUUGUCCGGAUUUAUUGGGCGUAAAGCGAGCGCAGGCGGUUUCUUAGGUCUGAUGUGAAAGCCUUCGGCUUAACCGGAGAAGUGCAUCGGAAACCAGGAGACUUGAGUGCAGAAGAGGACAGUGGAACUCCAUGUGUAGCGGUGAAAUGCGUAGAUAUAUGGAAGAACACCAGUGGCGAAGGCGGCUGUCUGGUCUGUAACUGACGCUGAGGCUCGAAAGCAUGGGUAGCGAACAGGAUUAGAUACCCUGGUAGUCCAUGCCGUAAACGAUGAGUGCUAAGUGUUG
rnacentral:rRNA from 1 species